rnacentral:rRNA from 1 species
AACGAACGCUGGCGGCAUGCCUAACACAUGCAAGUCGAACGAGACCUUCGGGUCUAGUGGCGCACGGGUGCGUAACGCGUGGGAACCUGCCCUUAGGUUCGGAAUAACUCCCCGAAAGGGGUGCUAAUACCGGAUAAUGUCUUCGGACCAAAGAUUUAUCGCCUUUGGAUGGGCCCGCGUUGGAUUAGCUAGUUGGUAGGGUAAAAGCCUACCAAGGCGACGAUCCAUAGCUGGUCUGAGAGGAUGAUCAGCCACACUGGGACUGAGACACGGCCCAGACCCCUACGGGGGGCAGCAGUGGGGAAUAUUGGCCAAUGGGCGAAAGCCUGACCCAGCAAUGCCGGGGGAGUGAUGAAGGCCUUAGGGUUGUAAAGCUCUUUUCCCCGGGAUGAUAAUGACAGGACCGGGAGAAUAAGCCCCGGCUAACUCCGU